ensembl:lncRNA
GAAAUGAGAGGAAAAAAGAUCAAUUUAGCUCAACGGAAGAAUGUGAGCGACAUCUCCUGUGAGCAGGGGGAUUUGUAUGCUGAGGGAGACACAUUUCCUUCCCCACCUGACCAGGAAAACCAAUCUUUUGCCUUAAUGCGAUUUAUGAAAGAAAUCACCAUUUGUACAUUACUUUUAAAACUUCAGGCAUUGAAGAGCAAUUCUGUUAGAAGUUUCUUCAACUUUGGUGAUCACUGCGCUGUUUGUAGAGAUGUCAGCGGUAAGAUUGGUGGCUGAACCAAGCAGGUUGCAUUCAGAAUGGCUCUCUGUCUGUUUUCAAUUUGAAAGGAACUGGCUGAAGUGUCACAAACACUUGAAGCUCUGCAUUCUGCAUUACAAUGAAAGUGGUGUCAUUAUACACAUUACACUUAACAACAACUUCCUUUUUAAUACAAGGAGGACAUCAUAUCAAAAUCAGCUGAGUAUGAAGCCCAGGAAGAGAUCAAGCGCCAAACAUCCCUGGAUAUUCCAAACCUUGCAGCCAGUCCUGUGGACACAGCUUUUUCUCUGAGAACAUACAUACAGAGCAUAUAUAAUAGCAUACAUAAUGUCAUGACACGCACAACCAUACCAUCACUGUAAAAUUGCAAAUCAGAGGUUAUCUUGAAGCAAAGUCCAUCUGUAUCAUCCUGGGAGCUAAAGCACAGAACAAGAGGACAAAGUGGUACCAGCACAGAAGAGCACAGAUCCUUCUUGUUCAUUCUCAAGAUGAUAAGAAGACCAGGACUAGAACUCGCAAGUGCACUGGGCACAAAGGCUGCAUAGGUCUUCAUGAUAAGUGACCAGAUUUUGUUCCUUGUGUUAUGGAAGUCGCCCUCUUUUGAGGUGCUGUCUUCCACAGCACUUAUUCUCUUGAGAUAUUUAAUUAGAAGUGCCUGUUUUAGUCCUUUCUCCUGUGUAGACAAAUGCCUAAACAAAUGGAUGUUGGAAUUCCUCGAGUUUAUUUGGGCUUUGGUCCCACUUUUAUAUUUUCAGGAGGAAUAAGAAGGGAAGAAGAAAAAAGUAUCCUUGAAUGGCAGAGUAACACUAAGUGCACUGGAACAGGAUGAAGAACCUCAGACCUCAUUUCUCAGUGUCAGACUCCCAGGGCACUGACUGCCACGUCUCCUGGCCAUCCUUGGCAGAGCAAUGUCAGAACGGAGACUGUAACUGAGACUCUAGUCUCUGGACAAGGUGAACAAUAAAUAUUUUCCCAGCUGAGUUUUAAUCAACCUUCUACUGAAAUGUCGUCAACUGUUUUUCCUUGUAACAAACAGAAUCGUAACCCCAGGAGCCCUCAAGGGUGCUCAGGAUAAAACUCUUCACUGUGCAGAAAUUCCAGCGUCAGGUGGAACAGAGAACACAGUGAUCAAACAUCUUUAUUUUGUUUAGUUCUUGGAAGGAGGGUUUUUAUUUUUCCUUUCUUACAGAGAGAUCUGCCAAUGCUUUCCUUUCUAGAACACUAACAUUUAAUAGCAUCUCCCUAAGAACAUCAUAAUUGAAUCGCAGAAUGGAAAAGAAAAUACUGUGGACCAAAUAAGCCUACUCGAUGUCUGUUUCAUUCUUGCAAUGGCCAACUUUCACUUAGAUUUCCACCAUGUAAUAAUAUGGAAGUAGAGAGAGGAGAGAUUGUUUACCUGAUGAAGUUACAGCUUUUCUUAAAUGCUCCAUUUUGCCACUGGCUAUUAAGCAGUACUGGAUCUGCAGUGAACAUACAGUAAAAUUUGCACUGACUUCAAGUGUACAGAAAAGAGGCCAGCACUCUAGAAAUCCUGCUUUAUGUUCAUAAAAUAUCUGGGGGACCUGAAAAACCAUAGAUACUUGUUGCUUGAUGGAAUACUAACAUGUGAUUUCUCAGGAUAAGAAGACUGCAUUCUGAAAAGACAGAAUACCAUGGUAUUCUUGCAGAAAACCAUGCAGUUGUAACACAUAUUUUGGAGAGCACAGUUCAAAAGAAAUUGAACUCAUUAACAGAAAUCAAACCUGGUCAUUCUGGAUCAGAAUGUGAUAACACAUUUAUUGAUGUUGUUUAAAUAUCCUCAGUCAAUCACGUUUUAAUAAAGUUUCAAUAUUGUUCAUUUGUUCAAAA